rnacentral:lncRNA from 10 species
AUUGCCAAGGUCACAUGGGAGUUGGGGAGGGUUGAAGCACAGUGAAAAAGUAAGUAGUACAUGAAAAACUAGUAGAUGUACAAAAAACCAAAAUGGGUGAUAUGACAGAGUGAUGGGGUCAGGAUACAGGAGGACAGGAUUAUAAUAUGUCAGGUGGUCAGGAAAGAAUUUGAGAGGAGGUAAAAUUUGAGGAAAGAUCUGUAGUAUAAAUAGCAACAAGCUAUGCAAAAACUAAAAAAAAAAAAAAGGGAAAUUGGAGUGGCUAUACAAAUGUCAGACAAAAUACGCUUUAAAAUUAAAAAUGUGACUAAUGAUAAGGAGGGGCAUUUAAUAAUGAUUAAAUGGUCAAGCUAUCAGGAAGAGAGAACAAUUAUAACAUGUAUGCAUGCGACAACAGAAAACUAAAAUACGAAAAUAUAAGCA